rnacentral:rRNA from 1 species
CCUACGGGAGGCUGCAGUGGGGAAUAUUGCACAAUGGGGGAAACCCUGAUGCAGCGACGCCGCGUGAGUGAAGAAGUAUUUCGGUACGUAAAGCUCUAUCAACAGGGAAGAAAAUGACGGUGCCUGACUAAGAAGCCCCGGCUAACUACGUGCCAGCAGCCGCGGUAAUACGUAGGGGGCAAGCGCUAUCCGGAUUUACUGGGUGUAAAGGGAGCGUAGACGGGCGCGCAAGUCUGGAGUGAAAUCCCAUGGCUUAACCAUGGACCUGCUUUGGAAACUGUGCAGCUAGAGUGCAGGAGAGGUAAGCGGAAUUCCUAGUGUAGCGGUGAAAUGCGUAGAUAUUAGGAGGAACACCAGUGGCGAAGGCGGCUUACUGGACGGUAACUGACGUUGAGGCGCGAAAGCGUGGGGAGCAAACAGGAUUAGAUACCCCAGUAGUC